rnacentral:rRNA from 1 species
UGGGGAAUAUUGGACAAUGGGCGCAAGCCUGAUCCAGCAAUACCGCGUGUGUGAAGAAGGCCUGAGGGUUGUAAAGCACUUUCAAUUGUGAAGAAAAGCUAAUGGCUAAUACCCAUUAGCCUUGACGUUAACUUUAGAAGAAGCACCGGCUAACUCCGUGCCAGCAGCCGCGGUAAUACGGAGGGUGCAAGCGUUAAUCGGAAUUACUGGGCGUAAAGCGUGCGUAGGUGGUUUGUUAAGUUAGAUGUGAAAGCCCUGGGCUCAACCUAGGAACUGCAUUUAAAACUGGCAAACUAGAGUAUAGGAGAGGAAAGUGGAAUUUCAGGUGUAGCGGUGAAAUGCGUAGAUAUCUGAAGGAACAUCAAUGGCGAAGGCAGCUUUCUGGACUAAUACUGACACUGAGGUACGAAAGCGUGGGUAGCAAACAGG